ACAAAAAACCAGAGAGUAUUUCUGCCGAGAUUCUCACCGCCAUCUCCGCCGUACAGACACCUCCUCACCAGCUGUAGCGCUGCCGUAGUCUUUAAAUCUGUCUGUCACUAUUUUUUUCUUUUUCAUCUUAGUUUGGCGUUACGCAGUUUUCAUCAAUUGUUGCCUCACGCGGAAUCGCGUUCGUCUCUGCGAUUGGUGUGAGCGGCAAUUUUUGUUUGUGUGUUUUGGAUUUGUGACGCGCGGAAUUCGAGUGGAUUUCUUCGCGUGUUUUGCCGAGAGAUCCGAGGCUUUCUGGAGGUUUAUUCCAUUUCCGGUAAAGCGUGUGAUCCUAUGAAGUUUGAGUACUUAAAUCUGCGCCGUGAUUGAUUGAUCCAAGCCUGGGGAUUAUUCUGCUCUUCGUGGUGACGAUUUUUGGCCUUAUUAUGCAUUAUUUUCCAGUGAAGAUUCAUUGUUGAUAGUACGGAUGCUUCUGAAUCUGCUAAUUCAUUGAGGAUGAAAGGAGUUACGCAAGGGCUGAAGGUUACACAGGUUUCUUUCAUCCUGAUUGGCUUAGUGUGCGCUACUGUGCUUGCAUUGACAUGGUCCAAGACAACAUUUCUGGCCUCUUUCAUUCCUAUACAGAAUCGGGUGCUGCAGCUUGUAGGUCCAGAAGAAAUCUCUGGGAGCAAUACUUCGGCGCACGCAGGAUUGAAACAAGUUGAAUUAGAGAGGGAUUUUACAGAAAAUGUGACAAUUACAGGAAAGGAAGUGACUGGUGUUAUAGCAGAACAAGAAUCAUAUGAACUUUCAGGAAGACAAAACAAUUCAAAACAGGAAGAGAUUGUACAAGAGAACGCUCCAACUGUAAAAUCAGUUGUACCGAGAGAUCAACCAAGAAACUUGUCAGCUACUACAAGAAAUGAAGGUUGUAAUUACGCCAAAGGCAAAUGGGUAAUUGAUGAUAACUGGCCGGUAUAUUCUGGGUUUGGUUGUAGCCAAUGGUUGUCACCGAUGUGGGCUUGUCGCUUGACACAACGUACAGACUUUGAAUAUGAAAAACUACGUUGGAAACCCAAAGAUUGUAAAAUGGAGGGAUUCACGGGUUCCAAAUUCCUCGAGAGAAUGACGGACAAAACUUUGGCUUUUGUUGGGGAUUCACUCGGCCGACAGCAAUUCCAGUCCCUCAUGUGCAUGGUGACAGGUGGACAACAUAAUCCCGAUGUUCUUGACGUGGGGCAUGAUUACGGUCUCGUUAAAUCCCGGGGUUCUAUCAGGCCAGAUGGAUGGGCUUAUCGAUUCCCUCAGACGAACACGACGAUUCUCUACUAUUGGUCGGCAAGUCUCUGUGAUUUGGAGCCUAUUGCUUCAUCUUCCGACAUCGCUAUGCACCUUGAUCGCCCCCCGGCAUUUCUACGGCGCUUUCUUCACAAAUUCGACGUUCUUGUUCUUAACACAGGCCACCAUUGGAACAGGGGAAAGCUUAAGGCUAACCGGUGGGUGAUGCACGUCGGGGGUGUACCCAACACUAACCGGAAGCUCGCGACGAUCGGGGGUGCGAAGGAUUUCACCGUCCGCAGCACCGUCAAAUGGGUCGACUCGCAGCUCCCGUCGCGCCCGGGGCUGAAAGCGUUUCUACGUACCCUGGCGCCGAGGCACUUUUUCAACGGGGAGUGGAACACGGGCGGCACUUGCGACAACACAACUCCGCUGUCAGGCGGGAAGGAAGUCGCGCAAGACGAGUCGAGCGACCGUCUUGCGGCAGCGGCCGUGAACGGAACCUUCGUGAAGCUUCUAGAUAUUACGGCGCUCUCUCAGCUGAGAGACGAGGGCCAUAUUUCGCGGUACAGCAUCAAGGCGACUCCCGGCGUGCAGGAUUGCUUGCAUUGGUGCUUACCCGGUAUUCCCGAUACUUGGAAUGAAAUUCUUUUUAAUCAAAUAUGAUUGAUCUAACUCAUAUUUUGUUUGAGUUCUUCCCUCGCUGUUUUUGCCGGGAGGAAGAGAAUCAAAAUCGAAGUCGGAAUCGAAAUCGAAACGGAAACGCGGAAAUGAUGAUGCAGGGUUGUUGAAGCAUUGAGGCCUAACUUCUUUGUAAGGAACAUCGGGAACAUGACCGUGUUCAGAAGUGCAGGGUAAUCAACACGGCCGUGCUGACUGCCUGGGAUGCCCAGUCACCUUUUGAGUCAUUCAACACGGCGCACAGUCAACCAAUUUGGGACUAAAAUUGAUAAAUUUUCAUUUGAGUGGGACCAAAAUUGAUAAUUUUUUUUAAUAAAACCAAAAUUGAUAAUUAUGAUAUUGAAUGAGACC